rnacentral:tRNA from 1 species
CAGGGAGACAACAAAAUGUUUAAUAUUAUUAUUUUGUCACCUUAGGUCGAUCGGUAUCUCACGUUCUUGAUUAAUUUCUUGAUUAAUUAAGAAUUUCAUUUUCUAAGUUUUUCUAGGUCACACCCAUUAUUUUCCUGGGCCAUUAGCUCAGGUGGUUAGAGCGCACCCCUGAUAAGGGUGAGGUCCCUGGUUCAAGUCCAGGAUGGCCCAUAUCUCUAUGUUGGGGGUAUAGCUCAGUUGGUAGAGCGCCUGCUUUGCAAGCAGGAUGUCAGCGGUUCGAGUCCGCUACCUCCACUGAUUACACCUCUUAAUAUUUGUAGAAGGAAAUUGUUUUGGUUGUGAUCAAAUUCUGAACGAAUCUAGCUUCCUAAUGAAAUCAUUAAGAUGCUGGACUCAUUGAAUCAAUUUCAUUGUUUUCAGAGAACCUUGACAACUGCAUAGAUUAUUUUUAAAGACAAUAAGCAUCUUUAAUGAUGCAGAUUUAUUAUUUGUGCGAAUGCAUUAAUAACAAUUCUAUUAAGCUGAUGCUUCA